AAACCGCUUAGGGGUUAAGCCCGAUGAACCUGAAUAUCCGAAAUGGAAAAUUCAAUAAUGUUUUUCGAAUAUUUUUCAUUAAAUGUUUGAACGUUAUGCACUUUUUCCAUAGUAGGACAUUGCAAUUUAUUAACAUAUACUAUCCUUCGGGAUAGUUACAUUUAUUAAACGGCCCUAUAUAUGCAAGUUUAUUCAAUACCUUUGGUUUAUUCUAAAGUGCUAUGGUUUAAUGCAUAAUGGUGUUUCCUAAUAAAUGGUUGAUAAAUUUAUAAAUCUUAAAUUGCACAGACAUAGCGAUAUGUAAUUCACGGUACAUUUCAAUUAUUGAUUUGUAUGCAGUGUUUGUGUUUAUUUGAUUUGCAAUGCGAUAGAUUUGGGAUACCUUCGGGACCCGUCUUGUAACACGGACCAAGAAGUCUAACAUGUGUGCAAGUCAUUGGGUAUGUGUGUUGAAACCUAAAGGCGAAAUUAAAAUAACUAUUUUAAUGGGAUUAUAAGCGAUUAAAUACGUUAAACUAUUUAUCGUUUUUCCAUCCCGGGGCGUUCAUAUAUAAACAUGGUUUAAGCAAUUAAACUCUCUGUUUGUGAGCGUACCUUGAGCAUACAUGCUGUGACCCGAAAGAUGGUGAACUAUGCCUGAUCAAGUUGAAGUCAGGGGAAACCCUGAUGGAGGACUGAAGCAGUUCUGACGUGCAAAUCGAUUGUCAGAAUUGGGUAUAGGGGCGAAAGACCAAUCGAACCAUCUAGUAGCUGGUUCCCUCCGAAGUUUCCCUCAGGAUAGCUGGUGCAAUGAGAAAUCUUAUAUAUAAUCUUAUCUGGUAAAGCGAAUGAUUAGAGGCCUUGGGGUCGAAACGACCUCAACCUAUUCUCAAACUUUAAAUGGGUAAGAACCUCAUCUUUCUUGAUGUGAAGAUAUAGAGGUUGAGAUAUAUUGUGCCCAGUGGGCCACUUUUGGUAAGCAGAACUGGCGCUGUGGGAUGAACCAAACGCAAUGUUACGGCGCCAAAAUUAAUGACUCAUAUUGACACCAUGAAAGGCGUUGGUUGCUUAAAACAGCAGGACGGUGGACAUGGAAGUCGUAAUCCGCUAAGGAGUGUGUAACAACUCACCUGCCGAAGCAACUAGCCCUUAAAAUGGAUGGCGCUCAAGUCAUAUGCCUAUACAUUGCCGUUAGAAUACAUAAGAUUUGUUUGUUUUUUUUAAACAAGUUUUUUGAAAUUCUAAUGAGUAGGAGGGUACAAUGGUGUGCGCAGAAGUGUUUGGCGUAAGCCUGCAUGGAGCCGCCAUUGGCACAGAUCUUGGUGGUAGUAGCAAAUAAUCGAAUGAGACCUUGGAGGACUGAAGUGGAGAAGGGUUUCGUGUGAACAGUGGUUGAUCACGAGUUAGUCGGUCCUAAGCUCUAAGCGAAUGCUGUUUAAUUUAUGUU
rnacentral:rRNA from 1 species